AUGAUGGAUGAGGGUGUCAUCAAUGGUGGAAGAUCGGACAUGGAACCUGCAGCCACUUUUGGUCAUGGGAUUUCGACGCGAUUCAACAGUGGUAUGCCCUUGAACCACACCCUGCCAGUCAACACAUCCACGUACGGGCCAAGCCUGUUGGCCAACUACAACAGAGGGGAAUCCGUGUACGAACACAUCAACACUAAAGACAAGUUUGCUUUCAAGAGACCCACAAUUCGUUGAAUUCUUCACGAGGGAUGGCUCCGGAAGAAGAAAACUAUCCGAUCACCACAUGUUCAAAACCUCAAGAGAAAACCCAGUCUCUUAUAUCUGCCGAAAAGGAAUUUAUUGGCCAAAAAAUGCAAAAUAGGGAUGAUGACUAUAUGAAUGGAUCACUGAAAAUAUCGCAUCUCAAACCUUUUAACUGGUGCAAAAGGAUAAAAUUUGACGUCCCACUGGUCAUAUCAAAAAGUUAUACCAGGACGCAAUAAAACGAGUACGGGAAUUACGCUGAUACGUUGGACCGAGAUUCGGUCACAACGAAUCAUGGUUGCAGAGGUAUAUAAAACCUGUAGACGAUACAUUGUAGCACCGAAUAACCAUAAUCGUGAACACAUGCAGAUAAAUACAAGCGACAUUGUAGUCCAUUCAUGAUCCCGAAAAUAACGCAAGGACGUGUCUAUGAAUCACUAUCAAAUAGCGAUAAUACAGGUGUUCGCGAAGCAAGAUGUUGUUUCGUAAACUGCCACUGACAGUCAUGCAUUAGCAAAUUGCGCCGACUAAGACUCCCUUUCUGACACACACAGUGACAGCGUAUUUAUUUUAGCGAUGAUGUCAGUUUACAUCAACAGACAAAUAAAGCGUCGUAAAUUGCCAAAACUAAGUUGGGUUUAUCGAUGAUUAACAAGUGUAGAAUGUCUAUUCGUUUUCACAUGGAGAGGAUACAAGGCAUGUAUGUGAGAACUGAGUGAGAUGACGUAUUCUGGGACGUAAAAUGCCCGCAGCACCUAUUGUGUGACAUGGCUAAUCGUCAAUAACCAUUCCUCGAAGACAUGAAUCGUUGUUCAUGCUAUCAACGACUGGUUUCUAUACUGAGAAGUAACACGACAUUACUCAAUAUAUGCCUGUGUUAACCAAGCAGUGAAUGGGUACCCGGUUGGAUGAGAUGGUAAUAUGGCUGUUGACCUUCAAGCGCCUCAUUAUGUACCUUGGGUUGCCUACUCCCCUGUGAUCUGGUAAUUAAAUUGGUGUGAAAACUGAUCCAUUGACUGGGGUCCUGUAUGACAUAAUAAAUAUGCUCAUUAUUAUUAUCAAUAUUAUUAUUAUUAUCAUCAGAUUAAAAUGCAGCAAAGAGGGUUUGGGUGAUCCUGGCACAGUUAGGCUCAUCAUCAGCUCAGG